UGUCACUGCUGUUUGUUCCUGCCAGCGGCUAGCCACCAUCCUGUGAGGAAGCCCAGAGCACAUGAAGAGACCACCUGCACAUGUUCAGAUCCACUGCCCCAGCUAAGAUCUCCGCUGACAGCCAGACCAAUCACCAAUCUUAGGAGCUGGCGAGCCUUCAGAUGGUCCAACCUUUGAGGCCCCCCAGAGGAGCCAGGUGGAGCAUAGAUGAGCCAUCCAUGUGGAUCCCUCCACCAAAUGGAAGAUUUAGGAGCAAAAUAAACAAUGUUGUCAUUGCUUUCACCCACGAA
rnacentral:lncRNA from 1 species